UACGUAGGGUGCGAGCGUUGUCCGGAAUUAUUGGGCGUAAAGGGCGCGUAGGCGGCCGAUCAAGUCGGAGGUGAAAGCCCAGGGCUCAACCCUGGAAUGGCCUUCGAUACUGGUUGGCUCGAGACCGGAAGAGGUAAGUGGAACUGCGAGUGUAGAGGUGAAAUGCGUAGAGAUCAGGAAGAACACCGGUGGCGAAAGCGCUCUGCUAGGCCGCAACUGACACUCAUGGACGAAAGCUAGGGGAGCGAAUGGG
rnacentral:rRNA from 1 species